rnacentral:rRNA from 1 species
GAUGAACGCUAGCUACAGGCUUAACACAUGCAAGUCGAGGGGAAACGACAUCGAAAGCUUGCUUUUGGUGGGCGUCGACCGGCGCACGGGUGAGUAACGCGUAUCCAACCUGCCCACCACUUGGGGAUAACCUUGCGAAAGUAAGACUAAUACCCGAUGAUAUCCCUAGAAGACAUCUGAAAGGGAUUAAAGAUUUAUCGGUGAUGGAUGGGGAUGCGUCUGAUUAGCUUGUUGGCGGGGUAACGGCCCACCAAGGCUACGAUCAGUAGGGGUUCUGAGAGGAAGGUCCCCCACAUUGGAACUGAGACACGGUCCAAACUCCUACGGGAGGCAGCAGUGAGGAAUAUUGGUCAAUGGGCGAGAGCCUGAACCAGCCAAGUAGCGUGCAGGAUGACGGCCCUAUGGGUUGUAAACUGCUUUUAUAAGGGAAUAAAGUGAGUCUCGUGAGGCUUUUUGCAUGUACCUUAUGAAUAAGGACCGGCUAAUUCCGUG